GCACACCCUGGGCAGGAUAUAAGCCCGUUGGGGUCCUAUGCUCUGUCCAAGAAGGGGAAGGCGACGGCCGACAUCACCUAUAGCCGGGACGACCCUCCUGAGGCAUACACCAACUCCACCGUCCAUAGCCGGAUCAGCUCAUACUGUGAUUCGGCACAUGCGAUCCAUGGCCCUGACUUCGAUCCCUACAAUGAGGCCAUCAGUGGAGAAGCAGCCAUGAGGGUAGGGGGAGGCAAGCAACAUGGGCGGUACUGGGUUGCUGACCCCUUGAUUGACUCCUCGAGGACUCCUACUCUCUCCCAGAUCAGAGCAAAGGACAGGCGCCAGGGCCAAAGCAGCUCAGGGGUGCGCUCGAGGCCGACUGCAGCCGAGUGCAUCAUCACCAACCUCCAGACCCAGCUUUCGCAAAAGGAAGUCAGGAUCACCGAGUUAGAGACACAGUACAGGGAGAUGGCCAUCUACAUGCGAACUCUUGGGCUCAGAUGGGAGCACCUCCGCCACCAAACUUGUACAUUCCACCCGCUCUAGGUGGACCUAGCCCACUUCACUCCCAGGGUUCUACUCAAGCACCCAAUGAGCAAAGUCCUCAAGACGGUGGGUGGAGCGACCAUGUCAAUCCGUACCAACCUCCAGGCGAUUCAUGGGGCAGACGAGAUGGAUUUGGUUGGUGAACUUGUAGUUUGUUUAUGGAAUUUGUCGUUUUGUCGGACGUGUUGUUGAACUUGUGGUUUCCUCAGACUUGUGAUGGAAUUGAUGAUGAACAUGUGUUUAUGUAUGACAUGUACGUUAUAUGUAUGUGAGAGAUUUGGUA